CCAGACUCCUACGGGAGGCAGCAGUGAGGAAUAUUGGUCAAUGGGCUUACGCCUGAACCAGCCAAGUCGCGUGAGGGAAGACUGCCCUAUGGGUUGUAAACCUCUUUUGUCAGGGAGCAACGCCGGCUACGUGUAGCCGGACUGAGAGUACCUGAAGAAAAAGCAUCGGCUAACUCCGUGCCAGCAGCCGCGGUAAUACGGAGGAUGCGAGCGUUAUCCGGAUUUAUUGGGUUUAAAGGGUGCGUAGGCGGGCUUUUAAGUCAGCGGUAAAAAUUCGGGGCUCAACCCCGUCCGGCCGUUGAAACUGGGGGCCUUGAGUGGGCGAGAAGAAGGCGGAAUGCGUGGUGUAGCGGUGAAAUGCAUAGAUAUCACGCAGAACCCCGAUUGCGAAGGCAGCCUUCCGGCGCCCUACUGACGCUGAGGCACGAAAGUGCGGGGAUCGAACAGGAUUAGAUACCCCAGUA
rnacentral:rRNA from 1 species